rnacentral:lncRNA from 1 species
AAAGAAAAAAAAAUUUAAUUAAUUAAUUAAUUAAUUAAUUAAUUAAUUAAUUAAAUAAUUAAAAAAUAAAUAAAUAAAAUAUAACAAAUUAUUUUGGACUUGGGUCUCCCUCAUUCCAAGCCCAUUACCCACAAAAUUAGUCUAUAAAUACUGAAGUUUCAGUGGAGGAAAGGGACGGGGAGUUAGACUUGGAGUUUACACUGGGAGAUUCACUGGAGAAAGAAGGAAGAGAAGCAAAACACUCUGAGGUUUCCUUGGAACAAAACCUUGAGGAAAAAGAAAGAGAGAGAACAGAGAAGGACGGAUAGAAACUUUGGCAUAGGAACCCUGCCAACCCGGAGAAUUCAGAAUAAAGAAACCCUGAAGGCAGCUCAUCCGCCCGAAGCCAUCGCCGCCCAAUUCCC